UCAAAUGGGAUCUCAGAGACAGCAUCAUUUUUCAAAAACUUAUGUUAUUCUUAAAUUAUAGUCAGAAAAAAGAAGGCUCUACUGCUGGCACUCUUUUGGAAGACUCUAGAGGUUCCUGUGGUCCUCUCAUUAGCCAUACUGCAGCCAGGGAAAUGACAGCCACAGAAGUACUGAAGAUUGGUAAGAAAAGGGCAAAACAAAAGAAGUCUAUGAGUUGUUGAAUAGUCCUGUAAAAGUCUUCUUGUAGUCUAAAAACUAGAUGAUAGCAGGCAAUGCAGCUAGAAAAAAAUCACCUGGGGGGCAGCUAGGUGGCACAAUGGAUAGAGCUCCAGCCUUGGAGUCGGGAGGACCUGUGUUCAAAUCCAGCCUCAGACACAUGAUGCUUACUAGUUGUGUGACCCUGGGCAAGUCACUUAACCCCAUUGCCUAAAAAAAAAAAAAGAAAAAGAAAAAAAUCACCCGGAAGGAAAAGCUGCACUCUCAAAAUUACCAACUAUAUUAUUGAGUUGUCACUGUAAGCAGGUAUCAAAACCACUUUCACAAAAAAAAAAAUGUGGUGAGAU
rnacentral:lncRNA from 1 species